rnacentral:misc_RNA from 1 species
UGGCUCUCGCAUCGAUGAAGAACGCAGCGAAAUGCGAUAAGUAAUGUGAAUUGCAGAAUUCAGUGAAUCAUCGAAUCUUUGAACGCACCUUGCGCUCCUUGGUAUUCCGAGGAGCAUGCCUGUUUGAGUGUCAUGGUAUUCUCAAUUCCCUCAACCUUUGCUGGAUGAGGUGAUAUUGGACUUGGAGGUUUUUGCUGGCAUCCCAGUGAGGUCAGCUCCUCUUAAAUGCAUCAGUAUGAAUCCCGCUUCAUGCUCAGUGUGAUAAUUAUCUGCACUGUCUUUGGGUGCGGCCACUUUCAUGCUUCCAACUGUCGCAAGACAAACCUUUUGACAUCUGACCUCAAAUCAGGUAGGACUACCCGCUGA